ACAAGUACCGUGAGGGAAAGUUGAAAAGCACUUUGAAGAGAGAGUUAAAGAGGACGUGAAACCGAUGAGGUGGAAACGGACAGAGCUGGCGUAUCUGGACUGCAUUCAGCCGCGUGCUGUUGAGCGUUUGGGCACCGCUCUCCAGACUGGGACGAUGUCCCUGAUUGCUUUUCGGCUUGUGGUGCAUUUGCAGGUGGAGUGCGCCGAGGCGCCUGGGGCAGCUGUGCGAUCUCGGCUCUGAGGCCAGCUCUUCGCGGAGUCUGGAACCCGUGCCGUGGGGAGUGCUGUUUGUCCUGGGUGUUCGAUGGGUGAUGGUUUCGGGCUCGGGUGGGUGCCGAGCUGGCAGUCGGUGGCGGUCGCUUGCGACACGUGCCAGCGGUCAGUUCGGUCCUGCUCGUGCUCACUGUUUGCUCGUCCUCGGUGUAAAAGCCGGUCAUCUGUCCGACCCGUCUUGAAACACGGACCAAGGAGUUUAGCGUGUGCGCGAGUCAUUGGGCGUUGGAAACCCAAAGGCGCAAUGAAAGUGAAUGCCUCCCUCGUUGGAGCUGAUGUGUGAUCCGGGGCACUGCGGUGCGCCGGCGCAACAUGGUCCCAUCCUGAUCGCUUGCGAUGGGGUGGAGACAGAGCGUACGCGCUGAGACCCGAAAGAUGGUGAACUAUUCCUGAGCAGGAUGAAGCCAGAGGAAACCCUGGUGGAAGUCCGAAGCGGUUCUGACGUGCAAAUCGAUCGUCUGACUUGGGUAUAGGGGCGAAAGACUAAUCGAACCAUCUAGUAGCUGGUUCCUUCCGA
rnacentral:rRNA from 1 species